rnacentral:rRNA from 1 species
UUACCCAAUCCCGACUCGGGGAGGUAGUGACAAUAAAUACUGAUACAGGGCUCUUUUGGGUCUUGUAAUUGGAAUGAGUACAAUUUAAAUCCCUUAACGAGGAACAAUUGGAGGGCAAGUCUGGUGCCAGCAGCCGCGGUAAUUCCAGCUCCAAUAGCGUAUAUUAAAGUUGUUGUGGUUAAAAAGCUCGUAGUUGAACCUUGGGCCUGACUGGCCGGUCCGCCUCACCGCGUGUACUGGUCCGGCCGGGCCUUUCCCUCUGUGGAACCCCAUGCCCUUCACUGGGUGUGGCGGGGAAACAGGACUUUUACUUUGAAAAAAUUAGAGUGCUCCAGGCAGGCCUAUGCUCGAAUACAUUAGCAUGGAAUAAUAAAAUAGGACGUGUGGUUCUAUUUUGUUGGUUUCUAGGACCGCCGUAAUGAUUAAUAGGGACAGUCGGGGGCAUCAGUAUUCAAUUGUCAGAGGUGAAAUUCUUGGAUUUAUUGAAGACUAACUACUGCGAAAGCAUUUGCCAAGGAUGUUUUCAUUAAUCAGGAACGAAAGUUAGGGGAUCGAAGACGAUCAGAUACCGUCGUAGUCUUAACCAUAAACUAUGCCGACUAGGGAUCGGACGAUGUUAUUAUUUGACUCGUUCGGCACCUUACGAGAAAUCAAAGUGCUUGGGCUCCAGG